UGAGUAACCUGCCCUUCACUCUGGGAUAACUCCGGGGAAACCGGGGCUAAUACUGGAUAUGACUCGAACAGGCGUCUGUUUCGGGUGGAAAGAUUUUAUUGGUGGAGGAUGGACUCGCGGCCUAUCAGCUUGUUGGUGAGGUAAUGGCUCACCAAGGCGACGACGGGUAGCCGGCCUGAGAGGGCGAUCGGCCACACUGGGACUGAGACACCGGCCCAGACCUCCGUACGGGGAGCA
rnacentral:rRNA from 1 species